rnacentral:lncRNA from 1 species
AUGAACCUGAUUAACUAAGCAAACUAUUUUAAAUAGUUGAAAGGAAAAAGGAUAACUACCACGUUUACCUCUUGGCAAGACGUUCGGUGUUUUUAAGUCCUCCGAACGGGACUCUCCGUUUUCUCAGUCGUCCUGGGAUUCGCUGGAUGGCGUAGUCGGUGGUUCCGGCGGCUAUAACUAUCUUCUCUUUCCACAUCUGACUCGGUGCUUGUUGGGUAUUUUAAACGCAAACAUAAAAAUCUGCAAGCGCACGGAUACCGAUGUAGCUUUCACCCGGAAGUAUUCCAGAGUAUCGAUUUUCCACAGGGAACGUGAGUGUACUAAUUAAGAUUCAAGAUCGCC